rnacentral:rRNA from 1 species
AAGCGACUAAGCGUACACGGUGGAUGCCCUGGCAGUCAGAGGCGAUGAAGGACGUGCUAAUCUGCGAAAAGCGUCGGUAAGGUGAUAUGAACCGUUACAGCCGGCGAUGUCCGAAUGGGGAAACCCAGUGCAAUUCGUUGCACUAUCGUUAACUGAAUACAUAGGUUAACGAGGCGAACCGGGGGAACUGAAACAUCUAAGUACCCCGAGGAAAAGAAAUCAACCGAGAUUCCCCCAGUAGCGGCGAGCGAACGGGGAGCAGCCCAGAGUCUGAAUCAGCUUGUGUGUUAGUGGAACGGUCUGGAAAGUCCGACGGUACAGGGUGAUAGUCCCGUACACCAAAAUGCACAGGCUGUGAACUCGAAGAGUAGGGCGGGACACGUGGUAUCCUGUCUGAAUAUGGGGGGACCAUCCUCCAAGGCUAAAUACUCCUGACUGACCGAUAGUGAACCAGUACCGUGAGGGAAAGGCGAAAAGAACCCCGGCGAGGGGAGUGAAAAAGAACCUGAAACCGUGUACGUACAAGCAGUGGGAGCACCUUCGGGUGUGACUGCGUACCUUUUGUAUAAUGGGUCAGCGACUUAUAUUCUGUAGCAAGGUUAACCGUAUAGGGGAGCCGCAGGGAAACCGAGUCUUAACUGGGCGUUAAGUUGCAGGGUAUAGACCCGAAACCCGGUGAUCUAGCCAUGGGCAGGUUGAAGGUUGGGUAACACUAACUGGAGGACCGAACCGACUAAUGUUGAAAAAUUAGCGGAUGACUUGUGGCUGGGGGUGAAAGGCCAAUCAAACCGGGAGAUAGCUGGUUCUCCCCGAAAGCUAUUUAGGUAGCGCCUCGUGAAUUCAUCUUCGGGGGUAGAGCACUGUUUCGGCUAGGGGGUCAUCCCGACUUACCAACCCGAUGCAAACUACGAAUACCGAAGAAUGUUAUCACGGGAGACACACGGCGGGUGCUAACGUCCGUCGUGAAGAGGGAAACAACCCAGACCGCCAGCUAAGGUCCCAAAGUCAUGGUUAAGUGGGAAACGAUGUGGGAAGGCACAGACAGCCAGGAUGUUGGCUUAGAAGCAGCCAUCAUUUAAAGAAAGCGUAAUAGCUCACUGGUCGAGUCGGCCUGCGCGGAAGAUGUAACGGGGCUAAACCAUGCACCGAAGCUGCGGCAGCGACACUAUGUGUUGUUGGGUAGGGGAGCGUUCUGUAAGCCUGCGAAGGUGACCUGUGAGGGUUGCUGGAGGUAUCAGAAGUGCGAAUGCUGACAUAAGUAACGAUAAAGCGGGUGAAAAGCCCGCUCGCCGGAAGACCAAGGGUUCCUGUCCAACGUUAAUCGGGGCAGGGUGAGUCGACCCCUAAGGCGAGGCCGAAAGGCGUAGUCGAUGGGAAACAGGUUAAUAUUCCUGUACUUGGUGUUACUGCGAAGGGGGGACGGAGAAGGCUAUGUUAGCCGGGCGACGGUUGUCCCGGUUUAAGCAUGUAGGCUGGUUAUCCAGGCAAAUCCGGAUAAUCAAGGCUGAGGUGUGAUGACGAGGCACUACGGUGCUGAAGUAACAAAUGCCCUGCUUCCAGGAAAAGCCUCUAAGCAUCAGGUAACAUCAAAUCGUACCCCAAACCGACACAGGUGGUCAGGUAGAGAAUACCAAGGCGCUUGAGAGAACUCGGGUGAAGGAACUAGGCAAAAUGGUGCCGUAACUUCGGGAGAAGGCACGCUGGUGUGUAGGUGAAGUCCCUGCGGAUGGAGCUGAGACCAGUCGAAGAUACCAGCUGGCUGCAACUGUUUAUUAAAAACACAGCACUGUGCAAACACGAAAGUGGACGUAUACGGUGUGACGCCUGCCCGGUGCCGGAAGGUUAAUUGAUGGGGUUAUCCGUAAGGAGAAGCUCUUGAUCGAAGCCCCGGUAAACGGCGGCCGUAACUAUAACGGUCCUAAGGUAGCGAAAUUCCUUGUCGGGUAAGUUCCGACCUGCACGAAUGGCGUAAUGAUGGCCAGGCUGUCUCCACCCGAGACUCAGUGAAAUUGAACUCGCUGUGAAGAUGCAGUGUACCCGCGGCAAGACGGAAAGACCCCGUGAACCUUUACUAUAGCUUGACACUGAACAUUGAGCCUUGAUGUGUAGGAUAGGUGGGAGGCUUUGAAGCGUGGACGCCAGUCUGCGUGGAGCC